AACACAAGGUCUUGGUCUUAAACCUCUCAUUAUCUUAACUCCUUACUUAUACAUGCAAGCCUCAACACAACAGUGAGAUAGCCCACUAUUACACCAAGCGGAGCCGGUAUCAGAUCAACCCCAUGACACCAAGCAAUAAAGCCACACCCACACGGGCUAGCAGCAGUACUUAACAUUGGGCCAUAAGCGCAAGCUUGACCUAGUAAUGUUUGACCCGUGAAAGUCAGGACWCAAACUNAGAUUAGAUACCUUACUAUGCCUAACCAUAACAACAACAGUUAAACAACAAACUGUUCGCCAAAUAACUACGAGUUAAAACUUAAAAUUUAAAAGACUUGACGGUACUUCACACCAACCUAGAGGAGCCUGUCCAAUAACCGAUGAUCCACGAUUAACCCUACCCGCCCUAGCCUAACAGUCUAUAUACCGCCGUCGCCAGCUUACCUUGUAAAAGAAAUAAAGUAAGCCCAAUAAUAACCCAUUAAUACGACAGGUCGAGGUGUAACCAAUGGACGGGAUAAAGAUGGGCUACAUUUUCUUUUAAACCAGAACAAACGAACAGACUAUGAAACUAGAAACUGAAGGUGGAUUUAGCAGUAAGCCAGGAAUAAACAAGCCUAGCCGAAACCAACGCAAUGAAGUGCGUACACACCGCCCGUCAUCCCUGAAGAACAUUAAACUAAUUCAUAAAAAACUACCGUUUCACCAAAACAGGGCAAGUCGUAACACGGUAAGCGUACUGGAAAGUGCGCU
rnacentral:rRNA from 1 species